rnacentral:lncRNA from 1 species
GAUUGAUGUAUUUGUUUUAUGAAUAAGAUGAGGGAGUUUGUUUUAUGACUAAGAUAAUGUGGGGUUUGUUUUAUGAAUAAGGUAAUGUGGGAGUUUGUUUUAUGAAUAAGCAAAUGUGGGAAAUGUGGUUUGGAAUGGAAAUAAAGAUGGGGUUUGGAAUAUAUGAAGUAGAAAAUAAGGAAUAUGGGGUUUGGGGUUUGAGGUUUCGGAUUCUAGGGAUUUAAACAUAACACUCGUUAAUUCCACGUAAGCACAAAUCGUCGUUAAGGACUCGUAAGCCAACAAGGAAAUAACGACGAAAUAUUAAAAUAAAGAACGCGGGGCUCGUUAAUUCCACGUAAGCACAAAUCGUCGCAAAGACAACGUAUAAGAAAUCGUCGUAAAUACCACGUAAGCGGAAAUCGUCGUAAAUACCUCGUAAGCCAACGAGGGAAUAACGACGAAAUUUAAAAAUAAAGAUGGAGUUUGGAAUAUAUGAAAAUAAGGAAUAUGGAGUUUGAGGUUUGUAUUCCACGUAAGCAGAAAUCGUCGUAAACACCACGUAAAAGGAUUUAAACAAAACACUUGUUAAUUCCACGUAAGCCCAAAUCGUCGUAAAGACCACAUUGGAUGAAAUCGUCGUAAAUACCACGUAAGCAGAAAUCGUCGUAAAUACCUCGUAGUGAAAAAACUUGAAAAAAAGGAAAAGGAGAAAAAUACCAGAUUAACAUGUGGCAAGACUUCCAACAAUUAUAAUACGUAAGUCUUGCCCACAUGAAUUCUAAUAUCUUCUCCUUUUCCUAUUUUUUCAAAUAUUUAUAAUUUGAAUAGGAUUUUGCUGAGGAAUGUGAU